UUAAGUGGCGAACGGGUGAGUAACACGUGGGCAACCUGCCCAAAAGAGGGGGAUAACACUUGGAAACAGGUGCUAAUACCGCAUAACCAUAGUUACCGCAUGGUAACUAUGUAAAAGGUGGCUAUACUACCGCUUUUGGAUGGGCCCGCGGCGCAUUAGCUAGUUGGUAGGGUAAAGGCUUACCAAGGCAAUGAUGCGUAGCCGAAUUGAGAGGUUGAUCGGCCACAUUGGGACUGAGACACGGCCCAAACUCCUACGGAAGGCAGCAG
rnacentral:rRNA from 1 species